rnacentral:rRNA from 1 species
AGAGUUUGAUCCUGGCUCAGGAUGAACGCUGGCGGCGUGCCUAACACAUGCAAGUCGAACGGAGACUUAUUGACAGAACUCUUCGGAGGGAAGAUGAUAAGUCUUAGUGGCGGACGGGUGAGUAAUGCAUGAGCAACUUGCCUUUCAGAGGGGGAUAACACAUCGAAAGGUGUGCUAAUACCGCAUGAAAUGACGGGAUCGCAUGAUCCUGUUAUCAAAGGAGCAAUCCGCUGAAAGAUGGGCUCAUGUCUGAUUAGAUAGUUGGUGAGGUAACGGCUCACCAAGUCGACGAUCAGUAGCCGGACUGAGAGGUUGAACGGCCACAUUGGAACUGAGAGACGGUCCAGACUCCUACGGGAGGCAGCAGUGGGGAAUAUUGGGCAAUGGGCGCAAGCCUGACCCAGCAACGCCGCGUGAAGGAAGAAGGUCUUCGGAUUGUAAACUUUUGUCUUAUGGGACGAUAAUGACGGUACCAUAGGAGGAAGUCACGACUAACUACGUGCCAGCAGUCGCGGUAAUACG